CUGAUUUGGACCAAAAACCGACACUGGUGCGCGAGAUGAGUAUUCUAAGGCGCUUGAGAGAACUCAGGAGAAGGAACUCGGCAAAUUGACACCGUAACUUCGGAAGAAGGUGUGCCUUUAGUAGGUGAACCUGUACAAGGGGAGCCCAAUGAGGUUGCAAAAGAUCGGUGGCUGCGACUGUUUAAUAAAAACACAGCACUCUGCAAACACGAAAGUGGACGUAUAGGGUGUGACGCCUGCCCGGUGCUGGAAGAUUAAAUGAUGGGGUGCAAGCUCUUGAUUGAAGUCCCAGUAAACGGCGGCCGUAACGAUAACGGUCCUAAGGUAGCGAAAUUCCUUGUCGGGUAAGUUCCGACCUGCACGAAUGGCGUAACGAUGGCCACACUGUCUCCUCCUGAGACUCAGCGAAGUUGAAAUGUUUGUGAUGAUGCAAUCUCCCCGCGGAAAGACGGAAAGACCCCAUGAACCUCUACUGUAGCUUUGUAUUGGACUUUGAACAGAUCUGUGUAGGAUAGGUGGGAGGCUUUGAAGUGUGGUCGCUAGAUCGCAUGGAGCCAACGUUGAAAUACCACCCUGGUGUGUUUGAGGUUCUAACCUAGGCCCGUAAUCCGGGUCGGGGACAGUGCAUGGUAGGCAGUUUGACUGGGGCGGUCUCCUCCCAAAGCGUAACGGAGGAGUCCGAAGGUACGCUAGGUACGGUCGGACAUCGUGCUAAUAGUGCAAUGGCAUAAGCGUGCUUAACUGCGAGACUGACAAGUCGAGCAGAUGCGAAAGCAGGACAUAGUGAUCCGGUGGUUCUGUAUGGAAGGGCCAUCGCUCAACGGAUAAAAGGUACUCUGGGGAUAACAGGCUGAUACCGCCCAAGAGUUCAUAUCGACGGCGGUGUUUGGCACCUCGAUGUCGGCUCAUCUCAUCCUGGGGCUGUAGCCGGUCCCAAGGGUAUGGCUGUUCGCCAUUUAAAGAGGUACGUGAGCUGGGUUUAAAACGUCGUGAGACAGUUUGGUCCCUAUCUUCCGUGGGCGCUGCAGAUUUGAGGAAGCCUGCUCCUAGUACGAGAGGACCGGAGUGGACACACCUCUGGUGUAUCGGUUGUCACGCCAGUGGCAUUGCCGAGUAGCUAUGUGUGGAAGAGAUAACCGCUGAAAGCAUCUAAGCGGGAAACUCGUUUCAAGAUGAGAUCUGCCGGGGCCUUGAGCCCCCUAAAGAGUCGUUCAAGACCAGGACGUUGAUAGGUCGGGUGUGGAAGCGCAGUAAUGCGUUAAGCUAACCGAUACUAAUUGCUCGUGCGGCUUGACCU
rnacentral:rRNA from 1 species